UACGGAGGGGGCUAGCGUUGUUCGGAAUUACUGGGCGUAAAGCGCGCGUAGGCGGACCUGCAAGUCGGGGGUGAAAGCCCGAGGCUCAACCUCGGAACUGCCUUCGAUACUGCGGGUCUCGAGUCCGGGAGAGGUGAGUGGAAUUCCUAGUGUAGAGGUGAAAUUCGUAGAUAUUAGGAAGAACACCAGUGGCGAGGGCGGCUCACUGGCCCGGUACUGACGCUGAGGCGCGAAAGCGUGGGGAGCAAACAGG
rnacentral:rRNA from 1 species